rnacentral:rRNA from 1 species
UACGGAGGAUGCGAGCGUUAUCCGGAUUUAUUGGGUUUAAAGGGUGCGUAGGCGGAUCGUUAAGUCAGUGGUCAAAUUGAGGGGCUCAACCCCUUCCCGCCAUUGAAACUGGCGAUCUUGAGUGGAAGAGAAGUAUGCGGAAUGCGUGGUGUAGCGGUGGAAUGCAUAGAUAUCACGCAGAACCCCGAUUGCGAAGGCAGCAUGCCGGCUUCCUACUGACGCUGAAGCACGAAAGCGUGGGGAUCGAACAGG